UACGUAGGCAGCAAGCGUUGUUCGGAGUUACUGGGCGUAAAGGGUGUGUAGGCGGUUAUUUAAGUUGGUGUGAAAUCUCCCGGCUCAACCGGGAGGGUGCGCCGAAUACUGAAUGACUUGGAGUGCGGGAGAGGAAAGUGGAAUUCCUGGUGUAGCGGUGAAAUGCGUAGAUAUCUGGAGGAACACCGGUGGCGAAGGCGGCAUCCUGGACCAACACUGACGCUGAGUGAGCGAAAGCAUGGGGAGCAAACAGG
rnacentral:rRNA from 1 species